rnacentral:lncRNA from 1 species
ACGGUCAUCGCGUAUUGAAAGGGUGUCCGACGUGGAGGUGAGGAGGAGGACGAGAAUCUUGAAUUCUGAGUGAAAAGGAAGGCGCGACGAUGGCGAGGAAAGCGAAGAGCGGCGGAGGAGAGGGAGCGAGGGGCGGCCAGGGUCAUCCUCGCCGCUAAUUUGCUGACACGGGGGCAUCGGGGGAAGCCCGGACCGCGAAGAAGAUUGUUUCUUCAAGAAGCGGGGCGAGCUGCGAAGGGAACAAAAGUG